AUUGAACGCUGGCGGCAGGCCUAACACAUGCAAGUCGAGCGGAUGACGGGAGCUUGCUCCUUGAUUCAGCGGCGGACGGGUGAGUAAUGCCUAGGAAUCUGCCUGGUAGUGGGGGACAACGUUUCGAAAGGAACGCUAAUACCGCAUACGUCCUACGGGAGAAAGCAGGGGACCUUCGGGCCUUGCGCUAUCAGAUGAGCCUAGGUCGGAUUAGCUAGUUGGUGGGGUAAUGGCUCACCAAGGCGACGAUCCGUAACUGGUCCGAGAGGAUGAUCAGUCACACUGGAACUGAGACACGGUCCAGACUCCUACGGGAGGCAGCAGUGGGGAAUAUUGGACAAUGGGCGAAAGCCUGAUCCAGCCAUGCCGCGUGUGUGAAGAAGGUCUUCGGAUUGUAAAGCACUUUAAGUUGGGAGGAAGGGCAGUAAGUUAAUACCUUGCUGUUUUGACGUUACCGACAGAAUAAGCACCGGCUAACUCUGUGCCAGCCGCCGCAGUAAUAC
rnacentral:rRNA from 1 species